rnacentral:rRNA from 1 species
AUAUCAAUAAGCGGAGGAAAAGAAACUAACAAGGAUUCCCCUAGUAACUGCGAGUGAAGCGGGAAAAGCUCAAAUUUAAAAUCUGGCGGUCUUUGGCCGUCCGAAUUGUAGCCUAGAGAAGCGUUUUCUGCGCCGGACCGUGUACAAGUCCCUUGGAACAGGGCAUCAUAGAGGGUGAGAAUCCCGUACAUGACACGCUCCACCGGUGCUUUGUGAUGCGCUCUCGACGAGUCGAGUUGUUUGGGAAUGCAGCUCAAAAUGGGUGGUAAAUUCCAUCUAAAGCUAAAUACAGGCGAGAGACCGAUAGCGAACAAGUACCGUGAGGGAAAGAUGAAAAGCACUUUGGAAAGAGAGUUAAACAGUACGUGAAAUUGCUGAAAGGGAAACGCUUCAAGUCAGUCGUGUCGGCCAGGACUCAACCCCCCCGAAAGGUGUGGGUGUACUUCCUGGUUGAUGGGUCAGCAUCGAUUUUGGCCACCGGAAAAGGGUUGGAGGAAUGUGGCACCCUCUUUUCGGGGGGUGUGUUUAUAGCCUUUGAUCGGAUGCGGUGGUUGGGAUCGAGGAAAGCAGCACGCGUGAAAUGAAGGACUUUUUGUUUUUUUCGUUUUGCGACCCGGGGUUCGCCCACGAUUGACGUGCUUAGGAUGCUGGCGUAAUGGCUUGAAACGACCCGUCUUGAAACACGGACCAAGGAGUCUAACAUGCCUG